rnacentral:tRNA from 1 species
GCGUGGGUGGUUUAGCAGUAGAAUCUCCGCCUGCCACGCGGGCGACCCUGGUUUGAUUCCCGGCCGAUGCA